rnacentral:lncRNA from 1 species
UCUCGUCGCUUAUAUCGCAAACUAAUCGUCCCAACUCGAAAAUCAAGUGUUCAAUCGGACAAUAGUAUCCCCUUCCAUGGCUCAAUGAAUUCAUCCUAAACUCAGUAAUCCACUUAAGAUCCCCUAAGUAAAGAACAACCCCCCUUUGCACAAACCCUUUAACUAGACUCCUUAAUUCUCCAAGUCUUUUUUCUACAUCUCCUCUAGAUAGUUGGCCAAAAGAGAAUAGAGGAAGACUUAUAAACUUAACACCUUUUAAAGCUUCAGGAACUUCUCUUUUAUUAACCUUCUCCAUCACUUUUCCUACAACUCCUUCAAUGGUAGCAACACUCUCACCUACAACCACAAGACUUCGCGAUCGCUUCUCGUUUAAAAGAUGUUCGAUUACACACACCACAUCCUCAUUCAUCACCUUAACUUGAUCAUUAUGAAGUCUAUUUGCAGUACUAUUUUCUUUUGUGCACCCUUUUGAAACAAUAGGAGGAUGUGUCUGAUGAGAUGACAAAGCUAAAGAAACAAGUUGUUCUAUAUUCUUUUUCACUUGUGUACUCGAAAAUCCGGCUUCUCGCAUCACUCUACUAACACUUGGAUCAUCUAGAAUAGAUAUUAUAAGCUGUUCAAGCUCAAUCUUUACAGCGAGCAACGGUUGCUGCUGGUUUUCAAUCGAUCCACGCCGCUGGUGAGCUUGUGCGCGCUUGAAAGCCGCAACUAGAGCGUUUGAAAUAGAGGGGUGUUGUGAUGAGUGAUUAGGGUUUAGCAUAGGGCUAGAUGAGGAUGUUGGUAGACGAUUUAAGGCGACAUUAAAGCAAAGCUCGAGAGCUUUACACUGAAGAGGGUGCGAGUUUGAUUGCGACUGGACGCAGGCGGUUCGAAGGAGGCCGGUGGCGGAGGAGAGCAUGGUGUUAGCAACAUGAAGAGGGGUCACCUGAGCAUGACCACGGCGGUGUGCUAGUGUGACAGAUUGUUUUAUAAUGCUUGCUGCAUCUGAACUUAAAGCUUGUUGGAUAGUGAAACCACCAGCUCUCAUGAGAGGAGGGGUGGGGGUGGGGUAAGAUUUAGAGGGCCAAAGUGGAUUUUGUAGUGGAAAGCAGAAUGCAUGUGCUGACAAGCAGGAAGAAUUCAUCAGUCCCAAAGGCAACUCAGCUUUGAAAACAAUCAAGAACAAUAUUUGUACGAUUUCCUUGAAGCUGAGUACUCUUUUGAGUCUUUAUAAUCUACUCAUAAUACAUAAAGAAAACAAAUUUUAUCUGAAAAUAUCAUUUUGUUCCAAAGGAAAUUGUGAUCCAAACU